rnacentral:rRNA from 1 species
ACCAGACUCCUACGGGAGGCAGCAGUGGGGGAUAUUGGACAAUGGGGGAAACCCUGAUCCAGCGACGCCGCGUGAGUGAAGAAGUAUUUCGGUAUGUAAAGCUCUGUCAGCAGGGAAGAAAGAAAUGACGGUACCUGACCAAGAAGCCCCGGCUAACUACGUGCCAGCAGCCGCGGUAUACGUAGGGGGCAAGCGUUAUCCGGAAUUACUGGGUGUAAAGGGAGCGUAGACGGCAGCGCAAGUCUGGAGUGAAAUGCCGGGGCCCAACCCCGGAACUGCUUUGGAAACUGUGCAGCUCGAGGGCAGGAGAGGUAAGCGGAAUUCCUAGUGUAGCGGUGAAAUGCGUAGAUAUUAGGAGGAACACCAGUGGCGAAGGCGGCUUACUGGACUGUAACUGACGUUGAGGCUCGAAAGCGUGGGGAGCAAACAGGAGUAGAUACCCGUGUAGUG